rnacentral:rRNA from 1 species
AUUGAACGCUGGCGGCAGGCCUAACACAUGCAAGUCGAGCGGAGCGGCGGACGGGUGAGUAAUGCCUAGGAAUCUGCCUGGUAGUGGGGGAUAACGUCCGGAAACGGGCGCUAAUACCGCAUACUAUCAGCUGAGCCUAGGUCGGAUUGGCUAGUUGGUGGGGUAAAGGCCUACCAAGGCGACGAUCCGUAACUGGUCUGAGAGGAUGAGCAGUCACACUGGAACUGAUACACGGUCCAGACUCCUCAGGGAGGCAGCAGUGGGGAAUCUUCCGCAAUGGACGAAAGUCUGACGGAGCAACGCCGCGUGUAUGAAGAAGGCCUUCGGGUUGUAAAGUACUUUCAGCGAGGAGGCGUUACUCGCAGAAGAAGCACCGGCUAACUCCGUGCCAGCAGCCGCGGUAAUUC